GUGCUCGCUUCAGCAGCACAUAUACUAAAACUGGAAAAAUACAGAGAAGAUUAGCAAGGCCCCUGCAUGAGAAUGACACACAAAUUCAUGAAGCAGCCCAUAUUUUA
ensembl:snRNA U6 U6 spliceosomal RNA